CCUAUGUAGCUAUAUGGAAAAAAAUAUGUAUUCAAAUAAUAAUUUCGUCUUGCUUGUUUAUUACUACCUGUUCAUUACUACAGUCUUUCCCUGAAAAUAAGACUGGGUUUUAUAUUCAUUUUAAUCCAGAGAAACGCACUAUGGCUUAUUUUCAGGUCUUUUUUUGGGUAAAAACGUAUGCUAGAAAGCAGGUCUGUGUUUGGGGGAAUUCCCCCAAACAUAGACCAGUUCACUAGGGCAUGGAAUCCUGCAAAUCUAUGUUUGAGAAAACUUUGCCGAACAUAGAUUAGUUUACUCGCUAAUAGAAUAUCGCAAAUCUAUGGUCGAGGAAACUUCCCCAAACAUAGAUUAAUCUACUUGCGAAUGGAAUCUUGCGUAUCUAUGAUCGGGGAAACUUCCUCAAAAAAUAGAUAAGCUUACUCGCGAAUGGAAUCUUGAAAAUCUGUGUUCGGGGAAAUUUCCCCAAACAUAGAUUAAUGAAGGCUUCGGGGUAGAGCACACGGUAUUCGACUAGGUCAUCCGUUUUCAGACAAACACUUUUUCUUAAAAUAUCAGCUAGACCCAAACUAAUAGAAAUUACAAGGAAUGAAAUGAAGAACAAAUUGCUUGUUGAAUGAAAUUUCAUCCAUGCUAUUUAUUAGUUUGUUUACUUAAUUACGGACAGCUUCCUCCUUGUAAUAUUUAAGAAUAGAGGUGGCGGGGAGCCAUUCACCAGUGACUGCUCGCUGUCAUAAGAAAAGACUACCAAUUCAAUUGCUAAUCCUAUAGAUGCCAUGGUGAGGCACCUAUUUAAAUAGCUGGGGGAAGGGCAUGAUGUCCCCCUGUGCCCUGCACAUAGGGCUAUUGAACUAAAUGGGGGCUAAUUAUAUUAAUAAUGGGGGGGGGGCAUUUUUACUUUAAUAGUUUGACAAGACUUAAUGGAAUUUUAUUUUGUCUUUUUGGGGGCUUAAACAAGAAGAUGUAAUAAGAAAGAAAGGGGCAGGUAGCGACUUGUGAACCACUAGUUAACGAGGGGGAGUAUUAUGAGCCCCCACCCGCUGCCAGUGGUUGAGAGGUGGGGGACUAUAUGUCCAACCCCCAAUUUAUUGUUUAGUGCACCCAUCUGCCGCAAAUAGGUGGACACUAGGACAUCCAUUUAAUUUAAUAACUUCUACUUGCAGACCGUCGUCUGCAAGUAGUAAUUACAUUAAAUGGAGGUCCUAGUGUCCACCUAGUCUCCCCCCCACCUCCCAACCAUUGGCGGUGGGUGGGGGCUCACAGGCUCACUAUGCCCCCCUCAGUUAAUUAUUUUUUUUUUGGUGCCUUUCCAGGUGGGCAUGGGGGACCUGUACAAUGUCCCACUUUAUUACUGCUGCUAAGUCUCUAGUCUUUAUUAUGACUGCUCGCUGUUUAGUAGACAUGCCCCAUACUCAUGGCAGGAAUGAGGUUUUAACCUCC